rnacentral:rRNA from 1 species
AGGCAGCAGUGAGGAUAUUGGUCAAUGGACGCGAGUCUGAACCAGCCAAGUAGCGUGAAGGAUGACUGCCCUAUGGGUUGUAAACUUCUUUUAUAUGGGAAUAAAGUGGUCCACGUGUGGACUUUUGUAUGUACCAUAUGAAUAAGGAUCGGCUAACUCCGUGCCAGCAGCCGCGGUAAUACGGAGGAUCCGAGCGUUAUCCGGAUUUAUUGGGUUUAAAGGGAGCGUAGGYGGAYUGKUAAGUCAGUUGUGAAAGUUUGCGGCUCAACCGUAAAAUUGCAGUUGAUACUGGCAGUCUUGAGUGCAGUAGAGGUGGGCGGAAUUCGUGGUGUAGCGGUGAAAUGCUUAGAUAUCACGA